rnacentral:rRNA from 1 species
AGAGUUUGAUCCUGGCUCAGGACGAACGCUGGCGGCGUGCUUAACACAUGCAAGUCGAACGAUGAUGCCCUUCGGGGUGGAUUAGUGGCGAACGGGUGAGUAACACGUGGGCAACCUGCCCCCUACUCUGGGAUAACUCCGGGAAACCGGGGCUAAUACUGGAUAUGAUCCUGGUCCGCAUGGGCCGGGGUGGAAAGUUU